rnacentral:rRNA from 1 species
GUCAGUAGCCAUUUCACCCUGCAACUCACAUCUGGCAACCCACUGAAGCUCACCAGGUGUGAGCCUGCUCAGUAUCUGGAUGGGAGACCUCCUGGGAAAAACUAAGGUUGCUGCUGGAA